AACCCUUAGGAGUGGAUCACUUGGCUGGUGCGUCGAUGAAGAAUGCAGCUAGCUGUGAGAGCUAAUGUGAACUGCAGGACACAUUGAUCAUCGACACUUUGAACGCACCUUGAGGCCCCAGGUUCCUCCUGGGGCUAUGCCUGUCUGAGGGUCG
ensembl:rRNA 5_8S_rRNA 5.8S ribosomal RNA